rnacentral:misc_RNA from 1 species
GAUGAAGAACGUAGCGAAAUGCGAUACUUGGUGUGAAUUGCAGAAUCCCGUGAACCAUCGAGUCUUUGAACGCAAGUUGCGCCCGAGGCCUCCUGGUCGAGGGCACGUCUGCCUGGGUGUCACGCAUCGUCGCCCCCGCUCCCCUCGGCUCACGAGGGCGGGGGCGGAUACUGGUCUCCCGCGUGCUCCCGCCCGUGGUUGGCCUAAAAUCGAGUCCCUGGCGACAGUCGCCACGACAAGCGGUGGUUGAGAGACCCUCGGACACGGUCGUGCGCGUGCUUGUCGCCCCCGGGACCUCCCGGACCCCCGAGCAUUGGCUUUCAGGGAUGCUCUCGUUGCGACCCCCGGUCAGGCGGGACUACCCGCUGAGUUUAAGCAUAUCAAUAAGCGGAGGA